UACGUAGGCGGACCAGAAAGUAAGAGGUGAAAUCCCAGAGCUCAACCCUGGAACUGCCUUUUAAACUCCUGGUCUAGAGUUCGAGAGAGGUGAAUGGAAUUCCGAGUGUAGAGGUGAAAUUCGUAGAUAUUCGGAGGAACACCAGUGGCGAAGGCGGCUCACUGGCUCGAUACUGACGCUGAGGUACGAAAGUGUGGGGAGCAAACAGGAUUAGAUACCCUGGUAGUCC
rnacentral:rRNA from 1 species